CAGAGCAGAGCCAGGCACAGCCGCUUGCUGUUAAAAGACGCCGUAAUCAAAAACAAAUGUUUCCCCUCUGAGCCGAGCCAAUGGGGUGUUGGGAGGACGCCGUGCCAGCGGCCACACGGGGCCUGGUAUUUAUGUGAACAAGGCCAGGGCAGACACUGAGAGCGAGUCACAGAGGAAAAUGAGGCUGGAGACUGAAAAGCCGCUGUUUGUUUGUUUUUGUCUUGCCCAACAAGGACAUCACGGGGACCUGGGAGGCGCCAGUGCGAGGGGCAGGAAGCCAGCCCCACAUCACAGGUGACCAAGCCAAGGCGUGGGUUAACAGCGAACCUGGGAUUCAAGGUAGGAUUGUGUGGCUGUAGAACCCCUGCAUUUCAUCAGAGGAUCAUAAACAGGUGAGCCUUUUUUUGACGAAGCAGGAAUGGACUCAUCAAGGAUGUGUAAAGCCUUCAGAGGUUGGGGGGAGGGGAUUUGACUCAAGACUUGGAAGCAGGGCAGCCCCCAAGGGUGUUUUGGGGAGCAGGAGGAUCUUUGCUUUUCCCCAGAGUUUUACAUUUGUGCUGUGAGUUUCAGAUUGGUGGGGUGGAAACCGCUGAGAGCCUCACUCGGCUCAGCAGGUGCUGGCCCAGUUGCCCAACUGUGUAGAUUCUGAUCAAGUGGCUCAGGUACUGUUGCUCCUGGUGCAGAGAGGCAGUGAGAGAACCCAGUGGGAAAACAAAGAGGCGGCCCAAGUGUAGUUUGGUAGUAUGUUUUCCCAUCUCAGUGUUUUAAAUCUCCAGGAAGUAGAUUUCUUUUUUUCUAGACCUGUGCUAGAAAGAGUUGUAACUGAUUCAUACUGAAGUGCAAAUGGCUAUCAACAUUUCUAUCUCCAACAAAUAUUUAUGGGUCUACACCUAAGGUCUUGAUUUCCAUAGAGGAAAGGGGAGGGGGGAGUGUAGAUUUUUUUAAAGAAUUAUUUCUUUAUUUGAAAGGUAGAGCUACAGAGAGGCAGAGAGAGAGAGAGAGAGAGAGAGAGAGAGAGAGAAAGAGGUCUUCCAUCCACUGGUUCACUCCCCAGAUGGCUGCAAUGGCUGGUCCAAAGCCAAGAGCUAGGAGCUUCUUCUAGGUCCCCCACAUGGGUGUGGGAGCCCAAGGACCUGAGCCGUCUUCUACUGCUUUCCCAGGCCGUAGCAGAGAGCUGGAUUGGAAGUGGAGCAGCCAGGACUCGAACCAGCGUCCAUAUGGGAUGCCGGCACUGCAGGCUGCGGAUUUACUUGCUAACACCACUGCGCCGGCCCUGGUAAUUUGGCAUAUCUUGAGGUCACCAGUGAAGCCCCUCCCUUCUCUGUGUUUUCCUCCCUCCAUCUCAGGCAAGGGUGUGCUGAGUGGAGAAGCCAGGAGGGUGCCACAGCUCUUCCUGACCUUUGUGUCUGAAAGGCCACCAGCAUAGGAAGUCCCCUGGGACAGACAGUCCCUCUCAGGCAGCUGUGCUCCCGAAGCCCUCAGCUCCCCAAGACUUCCUGGAACCAGGGGCUCUGCUGGCCUGCGCCUGUGUGAAGGAGUAGUAAGUGCAGACAGGCAUUGCGGAGCAGCGAGUUAAGCCACUGCUUGCUAACUGGCAUCCUGUGCCAAGUGCUAGUUCAAAUCCUGGCUGCUCCAUUUCUCAUCCAGCUCCCUGCUCGUGUGCCUGGGAAGGCAGUAGAGGACAGCUCAAGUGCUUGGACCCCUGCACCCAUGUGGGAGACCUGGAUGGAGAUCCUGGCUCCUGGCUGGAGGCUGGCUCAGCCCCAGGUGAUGCAGCCCUUUGGGGAGUGAACCAACAGAUGGAAGGUCUCUCUCUCUCUCUGUCUCUCCUCUCCAGUGGCUCCAUCUUUCAAAUAAGUAAUUAAAUAAAUCUUUUUUAAUUGGUGCUCACAUUAGAAGCAGCUGUGUGUGUUUAGGAACCGGUGGUCUCUGUUCACCAAACCAGGAGCCAUGUGCUAGCAAUGGGGGUAUUUUUUUUAAAGAGUUAUUUAUUUACUUGAAAGGUAGAGUUACAGAGAGGCAGAUGUAGCCAGAGAGAGACUCAGAGAGAGAUCGAUCUUCCAUCCACUGGUUCGCUCCCCAAUUGGCUGCAACGGCUGGAGCUGGGCUGAUCUGAAACCAGGAGCCAGGAGUUUCUUCCAGGUAUCCCACAGGGAUGCAGGGGCCCAAGGACUUGGGUCAUCUUCUGUGCUUUCCCAGGCCAUAGCAGAGAGCUGGAUUGGAAGAGGAGCAGCCAGGUCUCCAACUGGCACCCAUACGGGAUGCUGGCACUGCAAGAGGUGCUUUACCUGCUAUGCCACAGCCCACAGUGCUGGCCCCUGGCGGUACUUUUGAUCAUUACACAAGGGAAGGAAACAUAAACCAGGACUGUCUAGUAAAAGUAGGGUGUAGAGCAGAGGGAGCCUCCAAAGACUUGAGUAUCCUAAGCAGAGCCCCAGGCAUGCAGCCACCAGCCCCGAAGGAGCCAUACACAUUGGACUGAUGGGUGGAUGGCCAGGGAUAACCCACAUGGAGCUGAACUGAUGACCCCUCGUGCCUUCUCUCCUCCUGAUCUUAGCACUAAGCCCCGGAACCCUGGCCCAGCUCGGGGUUGAGGCUGGGGGAGGGGAGUGGGCAUAGAAGCCAUCAAACUGACAUGAAUCCCGCCCAGGGAGUCAUUAAACAUGGCAAGGAGAAAGGAGGAACCAGCUCAGAAUACACAGUGACGUCGCGAGAGUGGGGAUUGCGUCCGCUCUGUCCAGCACCGUUGUAGCAGAGACAGUGCAAGUAAAACCCAGAAACUGCCUGUUGAAUAAGUGAAUGAUGCAUAAAUGAGAUAAACCUGUGCCCCGGGAAGACCGGGAGUGUUAAUAAUGGAACUAGACAUAGGGGAGGCAUUAGGCCAGCUGUUAUACUGCAUGUUCCACUCAGCGGACCAGGGUUCAGUACUAGCCCUGGCUCCUGACCCCAGCUUCCUGACAAUGCAGACAGGCAAUGAUGAUGGCUCAAGCAGUUGGGUUCCUGCCACCCACGUGGGAGACCUGGAUUACACUCUGGCUCCCAGCUUCAGCCCUGGGCCCAGUCCUUGAUCCCGUGGGCUUUUGGGGGAGUGAACCAGCAGAUGGGAUUGCUCUGUCCAAUAUAAAACAAGAGAAACAGGAAGUGAAGUGGGGAUAGGAGGGAAGACAAGUCUGCCUUAUAAAACACUGGCUUUGAAAUGAUAUCGUUAGGAGGAAUUGUGGGUCUGCUGGAUGUGUGCAAACACAGCCUUAAGAAAGAAAUCAGUGUUGGAUCUUGGAGCAAAUGCAUAUGAAAGUGACCGCCUCGGGAGGAAGGUGGUCACCUAGGCAGAGGACAGAGCAGCACGCUGCUGGGGAGUGCAGGAAAAGGAGCCAAAGGAGCCAAUAAGGAAUUAUUUAACUGGCUGAAUUUCAACAAGGGUCAAAGUUUAAGUUAAGGGUGUGCGUUUAGCCUAGCGGUUAAGAUACCUGCGUCUCACAUUUGGAGUUUUGUUUUGACUCCUGGCUCCAGCUCCUGAUCCCAGCUUCCUGCUAAUGCAAAUCCUGGGAGGCAGUGGUGGUUCAAGUAAUUGGGGUCCUGCCACUCACACUGAGUUCCUGGCUCCUGGCUUUGGCUCUGGCUUUGGCUCAGGCUUUGGCUCAGGCUUUGGCUCAGCCCUGGCCAUUGCCGGCAUUUGGGGGAUGAAUCAGCAGAUGGCAGCUCUCUCUCUCUAUCUUUUUUUAAAGAUUUUAUUUUUUAUUUGAGAGGUAGAGUUACAGUAAGCGGCAGAGACAGAAAGGUCUUCCAUCUGCUGGUUCACUCCCCAGAUGGCCUCAACAGCUGGAGCUGGGCCGGAGCCAGGAGCCAGGAGGUUCCUCCUGGUCUUCCAUGCAGGUACAGCGGCCCAAG